GAUGAACGCUGGCGGCGUGCCUAAUACAUGCAAGUCGAGCGAACACACCAGGAGUUUGCUCCUCUGACGUUAGCGGCGGACGGGUGAGUAACACGUGUAUAACCUACCUAUAGGACUGGGAUAACUUCGGCAAACCGGAGCUAAUACCGGAUAAUAUAUUGAACCGCAUGGUUCAAUAGUUAAAGACGGUUUUUCUGUCACUUAUAGCUUGAUCCGCGCCGGAUCAGCUAGUUGGUAAGGUAACGGCUUACCAACGCAACGAUGCGAAGCCGACCCGAGAGGGAGGUUGCACAGACUGGAUCUGAGAAACGGCACAGACUCCGGCGGGAGGAAGCAGCAGGGAAUCUUACGCGAUGGGGGAGAGCCGGAUGUAACAAAACCGCGUGAGUGAUGAAGGACUUCGGAUGGGAAAGCUAUGAAAGUAGGGGAGUAGAAAUGUGCUAGUAACUAUGCAGGUAAUGACGGUACCUAAAGAAGAAGCCACGGCUAACUACGUG
rnacentral:rRNA from 1 species